CAAAUACUCCCUCCGUCCGAAAAUACUUGUCAUCAAAAUGGACAAAAAGGAAUGUAUCUAGAACUAAAAUAUAUCUAGAUACAUCCUCUUUUAUUCAUUUUGAUGACAAGUAUUUUUGGACGGAGGGAGUAUGAG
rnacentral:pre_miRNA from 1 species